rnacentral:lncRNA from 1 species
UUGGAUACAAGUGUGUGCAGAGCAAAGGACCUCAUAAAGCUGACCAACCUUCGGAUUCUAGCAGCAACAGCAGAAGGAAACCUUGAGGACUUGGAGCUCAUCAUCCACUACAUAGGCAACUCAAGCCACUUGAAGAGGACAUCGCUCGACAUUAAAAAGUUUGAUUGUUACUCUGAGGAACGGCUGUCUUUCAUAAAAAGAUUAUUCAGCUGUCCUGUUCUUGAUACUCUGCAAAUAGAAGGGCAUAUAGGAAAAAUGUCAGACAUUGGUGAAGGAAAUAUGUUAGACAUUGGUACAAUCUCUCCUAGCUUUACCAAGAUUGUGUUAAAUGGUUCUGAACUUGAUCAAGACCCUAUGCCAACACUGGAGAACCUUCCCAACCUGAGGAUCCUUGUCUUAGAAGUCGAGGCAUACGCAGGAAAGAAAUUGCAUUGUUCUGAUACAGGUUUUCCUGAACUCAGGAGUUUAAAGCUCGUCAAGUUGUACAACUUAGAAGAAUGGGAGGUGGACAUAGGAGCAUUGCAAAAGCUUUCUACUUUAGAGGUUUCCAUGUGCAGGAGAAUGAAAAAGCUUCCUGAGGGAUUACAAAGCAUCAUUACUCUCAGAAAGCUGAAGGUCAGCAUGAUGCCACAACAAUUCUUAGGCAGGCUACAAAUGAAAAAUGGCAGAGGAGGAGAAGAUCGUCACAAAAUCAACUCAAAGUGUUCAAUAGAAUUUGGAAAUGAUGAUCCUUGGCUUGAGUCUACCAUUUCAGCAUGUCAGGUAAUCCUUGACCCUCUUUCCGUGGAAUUUUGUUUACUUGUCAAAUCUUUCAACCCUGAAGAAAAUUUGGUGCUACAAGUAGGACUUCUUGAUGCCUGACAUAUUAGAUAUUCAUUCUUGGACUAAGUUAAUACAAGAGGGAAGUAAUGUACAGUUGGAUACAUUGCACUAGCUGUCACUGUAGUUGAUACAUCAGAGAAGGUCCCGUUUUUUAAACCCUCUAGAGUCAGUUUGAGGUCAAUAAAAUUUUGCUUCUAUAGAAAAGCAUCCCUAAACACCUAUGAUAUCAUAUACCUUUUUUGGGUUGUUUUCAAUCUUCAAUUUUCAGGACCAAAAUAAACUAGCACAGACUCAAAAUUUUCCUGUGCCUCUUCAGUCUUAUAGUCAAGCUUGGAAUAUAGAGUAACAAGCUAGUUUGCUGUGUUUAAUACUCCGCAUUUCAGCUAGCGAUACAGGAAUUCCCAGAAACAAUAACACUAACUACGAUCGAAUCCCAAUCCCGGAAACAGCUUGUUUGACUUGAGAGCAUUCCUUGAAUAAUGUUAUAAGUCUAAUAGAGAUGUUGUCAGAUUAGACAUCCUAAUCUCUUUUAUUUAUUUAUUUAUUGGUCUUCUAUUUUGCAGCAAAACAAUUCCUUUGAUGGCAGAAUCACCGAAUCUCAGGCUUCAAGUUCAAGUCAUAGUCCAAACCUAAUCGGAAGUUUUGCAUGCUUACCAGAAACUGAAAGGGAAAGAGAUGUUUACCUUCAAUGAUCCCCGUUGAGAAAAUGUACCAAAUUGUAAACUUUCAUCUUCGCUUUAACUUUCUUGUGCCCUGCUCCAACAUUGUGGCAUGGCCUAGGUAUGCUCUUCUCAGAAGUCAGACCAGAGAAGAAAGAUGGAUAUCAGUCAAGCUCAAGCUGCAGACACUGUCAGAAGUUCAGUCUGUACUCCAAGAAACGAAUUGGAGGAGGAUUUUUACCUUAACGAGAGUUGCACUUGCCAAUCCCUGUUCUUGAGGAAAGGCUUCUUUCUUGCACCGUAGUCUUCACAUCACUCACCAAAUGCCCUGCUCUC